rnacentral:lncRNA from 7 species
GUAACUGCCCAAUGAACAAAGGUUGAGUCUAGAGAUCAUUUUGUUGAGUUUUCUAAACUCACUUUUGUACAACCCCUCGUAAGGAAGUGUUUAUAAGAAUCGAGAGUAAGUCAGCCAGUAACCCCUAAUCAUCAUUCUAGUCACGCCUCGAUCACCUACGUGUGCUUUUCCAGCAUGUGCGAUCAAGUAGAGUCGUGCUAAGUAUUUGAUGAAAUGGGUUGGUCGCGAAGUCAACAUCAAUGGAUCUCUUCAUUGAUAUUUUCUUGAAUCUAUACCACAUUCUAGCUUACACGAGUUAACUGUGAUGUUAUUCGACAUUCACACCUGUCUCGUGUGCUACGAACUUACUGCGACCACUUGUUGGUAAACCUCUUUCUGUGUGUUUUACCUAAGAGGUUGCAUCUGGUUCUGUUUGAGUAAAAUCGUAUAUCCACCGCUCGCUCAAUAGACUCAGAUAGUACAGUGUCAUCAGAAAAAGCAAACCGCACACAUGGAACCUUAUGUGUUCUUCUGGCAGACAUUGUCUCUACUAAUGGACAUUUCUAGAUUAGCCUAAGGCAAUAUAUGUUAUGCCCACUUGAGGAACCACAUUCCGAGGCAUUCGCCUUCACUCAAGACUGCCUUAUAAUUAUCACUGAUAUGGACGUGGGUUACAUGCUUCUCUACUCUUAAACGUCUUUCGCUCCGAAUCUCGGGACGAGAUUCUUUUAAGGGGGAGGGCUGUAACACCCCAGGUGUUUAUAUUUUGCUCGACAACGAGUAUGGAUUUAAGCACGUAAUAUCAGUGGAUAAAAUGGAUGCUGAAUUUUAAACAUCUUCGUCUAUCGCGAUUUUAAUAUCGCAUCUAUUUUGUCUGUCGCGAGUUCGACAUCGUUUUUAUAUGUCCGGGCUCGUUCUAAAAAAAAUUUGUGUUCUUCGGAACAUAGUGUUCCGAAAAUCGGUGCGUUCGAUGAGUAUUUAAAAUUCAUCGCUCGCACGGACACGAAAUUCAGAAGCUCGACCCACUCGAACGAUUUUUUCCCGGGCCAGUUAAAUGGAACUCGAUGACUAAGCUUAAGUGUAAAAUAAUUUAAUCCCCUUUUUGUCAUCCGUGACAUCGUGUCUACGAAAUUUUAAGUAACCUGUAUCUAGUCGAGUGUUCGAGUAGCGAAUGGAAUUCGUCUGAAGUCAACUGAAUCAAGUGCAGAUUAAAAUACAGAAGCCGAAAUCCAUUUAACUCAGCCCGUAUGUUUCUUGCCAGCUUUAAAUCUUCGGAUAUAAAUACCUGGUAAAAGUUUAUCUGACUACAAAAUAUUCAUCACAUCAAAUAUUCGGGACGAAAACAGAUGAAUUUAUCCGAAUCCGAAAUAUUUGUGAUAUCCGUUAUAAAAAAAG